rnacentral:rRNA from 1 species
UACGUAGGGGGCAAGCGUUGUCCGGAAUCAUUGGGCGUAAAGAGCGUGUAGGCGGCCCGAUAAGUCCGCUGUGAAAGUCCAGGGCUCAACCCUGGAAUGCCGGUGGAUACUGUCGGGCUCGAAUCCGGAAGAGGUGAGUGGAAUUCCUGGUGUAGCGGUGAAAUGCGCAGAUAUCAGGAGGAACACCAAUGGCGAAGGCAGCUCACUGGGACGGUAUUGACGCUGAGACGCGAAAGCGUGGGAGCAACAAGAUGAUAUACCGGUACGGUCA